rnacentral:snRNA from 1 species
AUACUUACCUAGCAUUCAAAAAUAACUAAAGUUAUUUUUUCAAUAUAUUGUAUCUGCUUCACAUUGAUUUGAUAUUUUGGCUCUAAUUGUUAAGAAUGCUAAAUUUUUUUUACUGUGG